UACGUAGGGGGCAAGCGUUGUCCGGAAUCACUGGGCGUAAAGCGCGCGCAGGCGGCUGUCUACGUCCGGGGUGAAAGCCCAGAGCUCAACUCUGGGAUUGCCUUGGAUACGGGAUGGCUUGAGGAUCGGAGAGGCAAGGGGAAUUCCACGUGUAGCGGUGAAAUUCGUAGAUAUCAGGAGGAACACCUGUGGCGAAAGCGGCGCACUGGACCACAACUGACGCUGAGGCGCGAAAGCUAGGGGAGCAAACAGG
rnacentral:rRNA from 1 species